ACUCCGGUUGAUCCUGCCGGCGGGCACCGCUAUGGGAGUUCGCUUAAGACAUGCGAGUCGAGAGGUGUAAGACCUCGGCAGACGGCUCAGUAACACGCGGACAAUCUGACCUCGGGUGGGGAAUACUCUCGGGAAACUGAGGAUAAUGCCCCAUAGGUCUGGGAUGCUGGAACGCUUCCAGGCUCAAAGCUCCGGCGCCCGAGGAUGGGUCUGCGGCCUAUCAGCUCGUAGGGGGCUUUACAGACCCCCUAGGCUUCGACGGGUACGGGCUAUGGGAGUAGUCGCCCGGAGAUGGAUUCUGAGACACGAAUCCAGGCCCUAC
rnacentral:ncRNA from 1 species